GGUUCUAUAGUGUAGCGGUUAUCACUCCGGAUUCUGAUCACCAGAUUUUCCGGCAACCCCGGUUCGAUUCUGGGUAGGACCU